CCACUGGCUUCAGUUUCGCCAAUAUAACAAAAUAAAAGCUCCAGUUUUUAUAGGUUAUCCUUAAUUAUAAAAUUUGAUUAUUGUAAAGACAUGUGGAAGGCUUUAAUGAAACUUGGACCGCCUUUGGCAAAAAGUGAUGUUUUGUUGUCGAGCGAACACCUCUUGCACCAACAAUUGAGGACAACUUUUGUGGUAAAACGCCGCAUAAAGCCCUUUCUGGCUAAACAAGGAGAGCCGCCAAAAAAACUAAAAACCAGACAUUACCUCUAUGAUCUUGUCAAGAAUACUAAUGUUGAAAAAAAGUCAGAUAUAGAAGUCAUUUUAACUUCUUUUGUGGAGGAUUUGGGAAAUAUGGGUGAUAAAGUAACGGUUCGGCCAAAUUAUGCUUACUAUCACCUUCUAUUGCCUGGUCUGGCUGUUUACGCAACGCCCGAAAAUGAGGCUAAAUAUAAAAACACAGAAACUACGAACGUGAGACAUUUCAGUUCUCCACGAGCUUUGCAUGUCAUCAAAGCAUUAUCCAGAAUAUCUUUGUCCAUCAUUAUGAAUAAAGAUUCACCUUGGACUCUUCAGCCUUGGCAUGUUAAAACUUCAUUUAGAAAAUGCGGUUUUAUUGUACCAGAGUAUGCAAUAACAAUGCCGAAGCGGGAAAUCAAAGGACCUAAUUUGGAUCUUGAAGGGAAAGAAUUUUAUAUAAUCGUCACUGUAAGGGAGUUUUAAUAGUAGUUUUUUCGAAAUCGUUCAAAAAGUCUACAUAGCGUGCACGCUUAAAAAUUGAUAUCGGACGUAAUAACCUGACCACUAAAUCUUUUUUUUCAUUGGUGCAGUUAUUCCAAAAAUUCAUAUAAAAUUAUUUGUGAAGAAGGCACAAGCUGUGCCUGUAAAAUGCUGUCAACAAGCGGUAACGAGUUGCGUUAGAAAUAGAAAAUACAACACAACAAUCCAAUUUUAUCGCUUGGCGGUAAAGAGGAAAAAAUAAAAAUAAAACUUAUCUUUAUGGCAGUUUGUAUCAAGAUAAUAAAAAAUAAAACAAAAUCAAUACAAUAUGUCAAUAUUACAAAGUAUUUAACAUAUUGUAGAUGAAAACAAGCACUUACCUUUAUGGCUACCUUCUGCUACAGUUGAAAAAUUAAAAAUAAAAUAAAUUAAUUAAUAAAACAAAAACCAAGUAAAUAAGAUGGAAACGGUCAAAGUCAGAUGCCAAAUCCGCCACUGGAGUACCGACAUAACUAACAGAUUACCAUACAAUGAGGAAUUUUGGAAGAAGCCUACCGAAUUAUUAUUUGCUGACGAUGAAUUAGCAAAAGUAGAAACUACAAAAAUCGAUUAACUUUAUUUAGAAUAAAAUUACAAUUUCUUGUUUUUAUCAGAAA